CCUACGGGAGGCUGCAGUGGGGAAUAUUGGACAAUGGGCGAAAGCCUGAUCCAGCCAUGCCGCGUGUGUGAAGAAGGCCUUCGGGUUGUAAAGCACUUUCAGUGGGGAAGAAAGCCUUGGGGCUAAUACCCUCGAGGAAGGACAUCACCCACAGAAGAAGCACCGGCUAACUCCGUGCCAGCAGCCGCGGUAAUACGGAGGGUGCGAGCGUUAAUCGGAAUUACUGGGCGUAAAGCGCGCGUAGGCGGUCUGAUAAGCCGGUUGUGAAAGCCCCGGGCUCAACCUGGGAACGGCAUCCGGAACUGUCAGGCUAGAGUGCAGGAGAGGAAGGUAGAAUUCCCGGUGUAGCGGUGAAAUGCGUAGAGAUCGGGAGGAAUACCAGUGGCGAAGGCGGCCUUCUGGACUGACACUGACGCUGAGGUGCGAAAGCGUGGGUAGCAAACAGGAUUAAUACCCUGGUAGUC
rnacentral:rRNA from 1 species